UACAGAGGGUGCAAGCGUUGUUCGGAAUUAUUGGGCGUAAAGGGCGCGUAGGCGGUGCUAUAAGUCUGUGGUGAAAAUCUCUGGGCUCAACUCAGAGUCUGCCAUAGAAACUGUAGUGCUAGAGUGUGGGAGAGGUGAGUGGAAUUCCCGGUGUAGCGGUGAAAUGCGUAGAUAUCGUCUGGAACGCCAGAAGGUGAAAACAGCUGCGCUGGGGCCGCGCUGACGCUGA
rnacentral:rRNA from 1 species